CAGCCGCCGCGGGAAUACGUAGGGGGCCAGCGUUGUCCGAAGUUACUGGGCGUAAAGAGCGCGUAGGCGGGUCUUUAAGUGAGGGGUGAAAGGUUCGGGCUCGACCCGGACACUGCCUUUCAUACUGUGGACCUUGAGUGUGGGAGAGGCGAGUGGAAUUCUUGGUGUAGCGGUGAAAUGCGUAGAGAUGUGGAGGAACACCAGUGGCGAAGGCGACUCUCUGGUCUGUAACUGACGCAGAGGAGCGAAAGCGUGGGGUGCGAACAGGAUUAGAUACCCCCGUAGUCCCUGUCUCUUAUAA
rnacentral:rRNA from 1 species